GAUGAACGCUGGCGGCGUGCCUAAUACAUGCAAGUCGAGCGAACAGACCAGGCGUUUGCUCCUCUGACGUUAGCGGCGGACGGGUGAGUCACACGUGUAUAACCUACCUAUCAGACUGGGAUAAUUUCGGGAAACCGGAUCUAAUACCGGAUAAUAUAUUGAACCGCGUGGUUCAAUAGUGAAAUACGGUUUUUCUGUCACUAAUAGCUGGAUCCGCGCCGGAUUAGCUGGUUGUUAAGGUAACGGCUUACCAAGGCAACGAUGCCUAACCGACCUAAGGGGGGGAUCGGCCACUGUGGAGGUGAGACGCGCUCCAGACUCCGAAGUGAGGCACCAGCAGGGAAUCUACGGAAAGGGGCGAAAGCUUGAAGGAGCAACGGCGCGUGAGUGAUGAAGGUCUUCGGAGCGUAAGACUCUGUUAUUAUUGAAGACCAAAUGUGUAAGUAACGAUGCGCGUCUGACCGGAACCGGAUCAGAAGGCCCGGCUUACUUCGUG
rnacentral:rRNA from 1 species